CACAAGACCAGGGUCCUAUUUGUGGCAAUUGUAAUUAAUUCAGCAGAUUAUAUACUUAAAUGUUUAUAUAGACACACUAGCUGUGAGGAGGCUGUGUCAGAGAGUUGGAGAAACUGAAGGUGUCGCCGUUGUCGCCCCACGCUCACGUGUCCAACUCGGUUGGCGAAACAGUGGAUUUACGAUAAAGGGAACAUUUGCGAUGACUCGCUGCAGCCCGACGCCACAUGCCAGAUCUCCGGCGUGACGCUUGUGCAGCAGCAUCAGGGUGUGCUCGCUGAAUUGCGCCGCCAGCUGGUCCUUGUUGUGGGCGGAGAAGCGGAAGACGCCCGAGGAUGACGGCACCCAGGAUACGCAGUGGGCCAUGGCGGGGUCCUCCAGCAUCUCGAAGAGGAAGUGAAACAGACGAACCUUUCGACCUGCAAGAACCAGAGCCAGCGUGGCCCUGGGGCGAGGAGGUUUCCGCCCUCAUCGGUGGACGCCAACCUCGGACAGGUAUGAAACAUUUUCCGCUA